ACAUGCUUACAUCAUAGCGUUAAUGCAUUGGAUCCCAUUAAAACUCCGCAGUUAAGUGCGCUCGAGCUAGAGUAACAUUGGGAUGGGUGACCACUCGAGAAGUCUUAGUAUUUUACAUGCC
rnacentral:rRNA from 1 species